rnacentral:rRNA from 1 species
AGCAGCCGCGGUAAUUCCAGCUCCAAUAGCGUAUAUUAAAGUUGCUGCAGUUAAAAAGCUCGUAGUUGAAUUUCGGGACCGAUAUAUCGGUCGUGCCUCGGUACGUACUGGUAUUUUCGGUUUCUCCCUUCUGACGAACCUUGAUGUCAUUAAUUUGGUGUCUUGGGGAAUCAGGACUGUUACUUUGAAAAAAUUAGAGUGUUUAAAGCAGGCUCGCGCUUGAAUACAUUAGCAUGGAAUAAUGAAAUAGGACGUUUGAUUCUAUUUUGUUGGUUUCUAGGAUCGACGUAAUGAUUAAUAGGGAUAGUUGGGGGCAUUAGUAUUCAAUUGUCAGAGGUGAAAUUCUUGGAUUUAUUGAAGACUAACUACUGCGAAAGCAUUUGCCAAGGAUGUUUUCAUUAAUCAAGAACGAAAGUUAGGGAUCGAAGACGAUCAGAUACCGUCGUAGUC